GUAACUGUUGAAAAAGAGUACAUUUCAGAACUCAAAGAGACCUUCUUAAGUGCAGCCACUGUUGAAGGUACUAAAUGUUGGUCAUUCAAAGACUAUUUUUCAUACCUUUUUGAUGACACAAAUGAAAAAAAAUGGGAACAGGUUUUAGUUUAGAAAAAUCUGACCUAAAAAUGGGGACCAACGUGACAGUGUAUACAUUUUGCUGCGUCUUUAAUUGGAAGGUAAUUUGUAUUUUCAGUUUUGUUGCUUUUAUUCUGGCCAGACUGAGUAACAGUCCUGAUGCUGAAUGCUUACUAGAGUCUGUAAAAUUGCUGCAAGGGAUAUGGGACAAGCCUGGGUUACAACGCUUGAUUUGCCAACAAAAAAGAGAACUAUGUGACAGAUAUUACAUGACACUAACCUGCGCCUGCAGUAUUCCCACUUUGUAUAUCAUGAAGGUGAUCACCGACCAUGAUUGCUUGGCUAGGGGGAAUACCCCACUGUCGGCAGAUAUACUGCACAGGGGCGGGGUCAGGCUUGGUUGGUUUAAAAUCCCGUGUUAGCAUCUGAAAACACCAAGACAAUUCAUCAAAUCAAUUGAAUUUUACUGCUGUGAUAGCAUGCUAUAAAAGCACAUAAUGAGACUUGAAUAGACUGUGGUUAAAUAUUAUUAGGAAUGUACUGUGCAAUUUUAAAUAUGAGUGCUAUUUGGGAUGUCAAGUCCAUGGGCAACCUCUUAUCACACCAUAGUAAUAUUUCAUAAACUGAAUUUUUAUUUGUUUGAUAUAAACACAAUGCUACAGGUCAGGUGUGGAAAGAAUUUAAUAAAUAAGGCUGCUUCUCUUCAUGCUUGGCCAGACUAAAGUAAGACAAGUUUUAUUCAUUCAAAGCAAGGGCGGAUCUAAGGGGGGGGGGUAAAUAGGGUGGCUAUCCACCCCCCUUUCUCAUUAGCCACCCCCUUUGUCUGAAAUAUGUAAUACAUCCUUUGUUCUAGCCAUCCAAAAGGGUCUGCAUCUGGAUUUUAGAAGACUGGACCUGCCAAGAAUAUCUUUAAUAUUACAUUAAUGUUUUAUUUGUACUGGAAUUGGAAAUGAGUUGGACUGAAUUAAAGAUCGGUUGAUUGUGAGCUGUAA